CAUGGCUUGUAAAGUAAAGGUGGCUAUGAUAUUUACCAAAUUUAAAUCCGUUCCAACAAAUCCAACAUGCUGUCAAAAUUAAAUCAAUAUGUCAAUAUGGCUACUGGGUGUAAAGUGUAAAAGAUAAAUCUUAUUCUAUCUGUUCUUAAUGAGUUUUAGAUAAUUUUAGUUGUAUUUCUUUGUAAUUUUGUGUUGUACAAAGAUUAAUUUAACAUUUUCUCUGGAAGUAUUAAUUUAGAAAGAUAAUUAUGCUUCAUUGGUGUUGUGUUUUGAAGUGUGAAAUGCAAAGUAAUUGUGAUAAAGUUCACUUUUAAACUGAACUAAAUAAGGUAUCUGAGAGACAACAAUGGUUAAAUGCAAUACAAUGUACAGGUUUUACUAGCGAAAUGAAAAUUUUCCUGUCCUGUCUGCUGUAAUCAUUUUAUAUCUGGAAAACCAGCCGACUUAAUCGAUAAUAACAAUCUCCAGAUUGGGUUCCUUCAAUAAAUAUGGGCUAUAAACACAAUGAAAUAAGUUCCCCAAAAUCUAAAAUGGAGUGGUAUCAAAGGAGAAUUAAAGGAAAAAAUAUUCAUAUUGAAAUUAUUUAUAAGGCACUGGACUGUCUUAAAUUCUACAAUAAUACUAGGUUUGUUCUAGCAAACAGUCAAACUAGUCAAAAACCAUCAGCAAACAGUUGGUCAGUAAAAGAACAUAAUACAGUCACCAGUGCGAUCCCCUCUACUCGCGCUGGUCCACUAUUCGCGAAGUGGUCUACAAAAAACCAGGAAGGAAACGGAAUAUGUGGCUACGAAAGGCAAAAGAAAGGUUUACAAAGCAAAUGUGACACAUUUUUUUGAAAUAUUUAGGAAUAUCAGUAAAUUGCAUUAAAAGAAUGUAUGAAAAGAUUUUGUUCAAUAAAAAUGUUUAUAUUUA